rnacentral:lncRNA from 1 species
UCUUGGAGCUUCUGGAGAUCACCACGUGCCUGCUUGUGGCCUCGGCGGGUGGAGAUUGUAUUGGCUGGGCCGUGAAUUGCUCGCCAGUCUUCCGUCGUCGCCGCCGUACCACGGACCACCGCGACCGGGAGCAACUACGUCUACAGCUUGGUAAGAACCACCCCAAUCCGCUCCGCGUUGAUGUAUGCAUCGUGUAGGACUGGUCGAUUCUAGGUAUGGGGCGGUGAUUGGGCGGCGGUCGCCGCGGUGGCGAGAGCGCCACCGCGGGAUGGUCGGUGCCGCCACGACUGCGUGCAGAGUUGGGAUAAUUGGAUCUGACCGUUCGAUCGCAAGGAGACGGUCUCGAUUUAGUCCACGUGCUGCUAAGGCAUAGUUUAGAUCUACACCGUUGGAUCUCGGGUGUGCGGAUCAGAUUUUGUGUUGGUGUGGCACACUGCGGGCCGCGGGAUCGUGAUCCAAGCGUGGGCGUGGCGUACCUAUUCGGGUGCACGCUCGAUCUAAUCUAAAUCGUUAGAAUUCGAUCCGACGGCGGGGAAACAAUGGCACCCCUUCGGCUGGGUAUUCUUCUUAAAAAGCCCCUACGAUUUCCAGAAAACAACCCGCCAUCCCCGCUGACUGUUCUCUACGUCUUAGACAACUUGCGCCGUAGCCCCUAGGGUUUCCGUAAAUAGUGCGCACAGUCCAAAGUGUGGGUAAAUCAGUGAAAAUAUUUAUAAAUUGAUUUGUGACUAUAGGAAUAAUUGUAGAAACUUAUUUUAUUCAUAAAAAAUCAUAUGUGGUCCAAAUUAAUCCAUUCUAGUUCCUAUAAUUUUGUAUUAAUUAUGUUUAUCCCUUGGUAACACUGUUUUAACAUGAAAGCCAUAUUGAAAUUAAUAUCCUAAUUAAUUUGUUAUCCAACACUUAAAACUUCAUAAAUUCAUAACUCCUUCAUUUUAAUUCCGAUUUGACUCGUUCCAGUUGUGUUAGUUUCGUAUAAGUAUUUACUACGCAGUAACAACAUUGAUUAUACCAUGUCUCAUUAUUUUAUAAUUAGAUCUUUAUUUAAUCUAUGUUGGUUAGUCUUGUUAAUCUACUUAUCAUUAUAAUCUAAUAGAAUAAAUCUAUGGUCAAGUUAUAACUUAGAUUAAGUUGAGGUAUUUAUUUAUAGAAUAAUCUCUCAUAUUUAUAAUAUAGUUUAAUAUUUUAAUCACACAAAUCUUUUAUAAAAUCAUAAGCCCUUAAUCGACUCCGAUUUUAGUGGUUCUCGUUCCCACUAUCUCGUAGCAACACAUAGAUUAUUAUUAUUCAGUUUGUACUUAUGUUUGGUGUAAUGUUAAUUUUAUCUAUACCAUGUUUGUUUGUAUUGCUACGACUAGCGCGAGGACACGUGUCAUCUGAAAAGCAAGUUGGUACAUGGAAUCUCAAGUGCCAGGCAAGUUGUGCCCUUGAUUCACUUUUGUUAUCCAAUAAUGUUCUUUAUAAUCAUUUACCAUGCAUAGGUUUAAUUUUGAUGGGACCCAAUAGGUCACUCUAGUCUGUUUAUCCAUUUUACCUUGUUUACCCCUGAAUCACAUGGUUAGUUUUGCUAUUGCUUUAUAUGGUUUUGGGUUAAUAUUUCAUUAUAUCCAUGUUCUAGUUAUUCUGUUAUUUUACUUAUGUUCAUGUCAAGAUGUCACACCCGACUUUAAGGAACAAAGCCAGGUGCAUCUCAUACAUGUGCCAAGAGGACAACAUAUAUAAUAACAGAGUGUGUAGAGAUAAAUGUCACAAAACAUCAGAGUAUUUAUUACAUAGCGGAAGACUUAUUACAAAAUAAAAGAAUAAAUAUAAAACGAACUAAGGAUCGACAGCGCCAAUGUCAACUGAGAUACGCCACCUAGAUCAGAUCAAACUCCUCGCCUUGUGGUUCCUCCUGAACCACCUGUUCUUCUCCUAUGGGGGGGUGUGAGACAGCAAGGGUGAGCUCACACAUGAUCAUAGCUCAACAAGUUGUGGGGAACCAGUGGACAUGGACUCACUAAGGUGGGAGUUCAUGUUAUGUGUAAGGCUAAAUCAAUGACGGGGAUUAAAGCUGAGCAUUGCUUUUAUGUAGUUGGUCAAACUUUUAUUAGCAGUUACUAAAUGUAAGUAAAUACCAAACCUUAAGUAAAGUAAUAGAACAAAUUAAUAAUAAACCCAUGCAAUGCAAAUGACAAAAUUGAAUUUAAGUUCCAUAAUUUAAACAUCAGAGAGUCCUAAGCUGCUCAUGACCGUGAGCUCGGCUAGUAUACCAGUUUUACACUCUGCAGAGGUUGUACCCUUUACCCACAAGUCAUGUUACCCAUCUGCCAAGGGGUUGCGACUCCCAUACACCUCUACCUAGGAAGCGCGGCAGGGCAACACUACGAGGCCUUUACAAAGUUCCACUAGCUUCCGAAAACCCGCUACAGUUUAUGGGAAGAGCACUUGCAAGAAUCCCCCGUCUGACCGCCAUCGCAGCUAAAUCAACCCGAGAACCUCCUUGCAUGCAACUCCCCUACUGCCCUUGCCCCAUUCGGGUAAGGUAGUCUUCCACUAGCUUUUCUAAUUAGUCAGCCAAGGGCGUCCCAUUAAACCCUUGUGGUGGCACGUGUUUCUCAAGUUAAGCUCUAUGUUCCAAUUAACAUUAAUGAACUUGACAUGAACAUAAAUAGAAUAACAAGAAUAAUUGGAACAUAGAUAUAAUAAAUGAUUAUCCCAAAACCAUGUAAAGCAAUAGCAAACUACCCAAGUGAUUCAGGGGUACACAAGGUAAUGAGAUAAACAAUCUAGGGUGACCUAUCGGGUCCCAUCAAAAUUAACCUAUGCAUGAGUAAAUGAUAUUAAAGAACAUUAUUGGGUAAAAAGUGGUCAAGGGCACAACUUGCCUUCAAUGAGCUCCUGCUCAGCUACUUCUAUCUGCUGCUCACCAGGAUCCUCAGUCACGGGCUCUUCUACUCGCCACAAUACAAACAAGCACAAUAUACAGGGAAAAUCAACAUCACACCAAACAUGUAAACAAAAUACACAGUAAUAAUCUACAUAUUAAAAUAAAAUCCUAGGAACAGGAAUCGUAAUUUUUGGAGUUAUAGAUUUUAAGUUAUGGAUUUUCAAAGGUUUUAUGUGUUUAAAAUAGGAUUAAGUGUGGGAUUAAUUUUCUUACUGUGGUCAUGACAAAACAGAGGCUUUAAGGGAUAGAGAAUAAAAUUACAAAAUUUUAGAAAGUGGAAUGGCUCAAUUUGGAUCAAAAAUGGAAUUUCUAUGAGUUUUACAAGUUAUAGCACUUACUUUCAUAUUAAAUAUUCAAUUUCUAAUUCAUUUAUAACAUUUAAAUGAGCUCUGGACCGGGCGCAACAUUUGCAGAAAAUGCAGGGGUCUUGGGGGAACUUUCCGAAGACACAACGCACAGCUAUAUAGGACGGCGGGUAGAUUUCUAUAAACUACAGGGACUCUUUUGAAUGUUUGCUCGGCCGAAGGGGUACGGGGUGAUCACCGCCGUUGGAUUGGAUAUGGGCGCGCCAGAUUAAAACACUACUCCAGCGAACCGGUACUCAGUGUGACCCCUUGGAUUCAAAUCCGACGACCUAGAUUUUAAACACACAGAUCUCACCGUAGCCGCAGGAUAUGAGAUCUACGAUUCAUUUUCCCCACGCGCGAGGGGUUACGGAAGAUCUAAUCCAAGCCGCAUAAUGUCGAUCUAACGGCUAGAGGCUUUCCCCCCACUCCCCUUUCUCCUACCGGCGUCAACACGACGGCGCCUGACUGAGGCACAGCGGCGCCAUUACCUCGGACCCGAAUCCCAUCACCCUGUGCCCGAAGCUCAAAUCUACUAGGUGCAACACCAUCACAGGGCCAAAGCGAAUACAGAGCGGGGCGUACUCACCAGUCACGAGGGUGAAGAGGACUGCGCCCACGGUGCCGCGCAAUCCACGCACGCCGAUGACGAAUUGAUGCCGCCCUGCUCGCCGACUCGGUCCGCAAAUGGGCUGGUCUCCUUCGCAGCAACCUGGCGAAGGUCUUUGAGUCAUUUCCCGGCACUGGACAGCGACGGGUAACGCAAUCACGACGGCGGCGGCGGGUUCGUUUCCCUCGAUGAGCACACGACGAACUGGCGGCUGAAGUUAAACGGUGAAAAGGAGGGGGAAGAAGAAGACUCGGUCCAGUCCUUUAUAAGCGCGCGGGCGAUGGACUUGGGCACAACGUCCACAGCCAUGAAGAUCGCGAUGGCGCCCGCGGAGCUCGGGAUUCGGUUGACGAUGGAACUGACGAGGUCGGCCCACUGGUCAGUGCCACAGGGACGCGGGCGCGGAUGUGUGACCGAAUCGUGGAUAGCCACUGACAGAAGAGGGCCCGCAGGUCAGCGAAGGGAGGAAAUCCACAAGCGCCUGAGAGGAGAGGCUAACCUCUUGGGCCCGGGCUGUCGGCGCACGCGGGAUGGAGUGGGCUGGCACGGAGGGGGUUUUCUCUGGGUGGGCCGAAAUGAAAACUUUGGGCCCAGGCGCAGCAGUUCUUGUUUUCUUUUUUUAUCUUAUUUUCCUUUCAUUUUCCCAUUCAAAUUGGCUCCAAAUUCAAAUUCAAAUGUUUUGUGGCAAAUUUUAUCCACAGAUUAUGUUAUGUUAUGACAAGCUCUAGCAUGGGCAUAUAUGUAUAUAUAUUAUUUAUAUAUUUUUUUUAUUUCACAUGGUAUUUGUUUGUUUCUCUUUCCUAAAUUUUAGAAUCUCUUUUAAGUUUUGAAUUCCACUCUGGAUUUUUUUUACUAUAUUCCUUAUCACAAAAUGCACACACAAAAACAAUAUCCAGCAUGAUGCAUGAUUUAUUUGAGUGUCUUUUGUUAAUUAUUUAUUUGUUUAAUUGUGGUGUUCACAUGAAUUGAGAAACAUAGAUAACUCAUAUAUGUAUACGGAAUACAAUUUUUCUCUGCUUAGACUCUGUUUACAAAGUGGGUGUUACAAAUCCUACCCCCCUUAGAAACAUUCUCGUCCUCGAGAUUUAGGAAGAACGAGGGAAAAGAUGGGGAAAAUCUAUACGAAGCUCUUCUUCUCUUUCCCAUGUUGCUUCAUCCUCUCCAUGGUGACUCCAUUGCACUUUACACAUCUUUAUCACCUUAUUUCUUGUAACUCGAGUCAAUGUGUCAAGAAUCUUGAUCGGGUACUCCGUGUAAGUCAAAUCACCCUGAACACUGAGCUCUUCCAUUGGUAACUGUUCCUCAGGGACACGGAGACGCUUCUUCAGUUGAGAUACGUGAAACACGUUAUGCACAUCCGAUAGACUAGCAGGUAACUCGAGUUGGUAUGCCAUCUCCUCAACUCGCCUAAAGAUCAAGAAUGGUCCAAUAUAGCGAGGGGACAAUUUGCCCUUAACCUUGAAUCUCCUCAUUCCACGAAGUGGUGACACCUUGAGGUACACAUAAUCUCCUUCUUUAAAUUCCAGUGGCCUCCUUCUAUUAUCAGCAUAACUCUUUUGCCUGGUUUGAGCCACCCUCAAAUUCUCUCAAAUUAUACGGACUUGCUCUUCUGCUUCUUGAAUCAGUUUAGGCCCAAAGAACUGUCUUUCUCCAGUCUGAUCCCAAUAUAGAGGAGUCCUGCACUUCCUCCCAUAUAAAGCUUCAAAAGGUGACAUCUUCAGACUGGCCUGAUAACUAUUAUUAUGUGAGAACUCAGCAUAAGGUAGACUUUUAUCCCAACUUCCUCCAUGCUGAAGGGCACAUGCUCUCAACAUAUCUUCCAAUACUUGAUUAGUCCUUUCAGUCUGUCCAUCAGUCUGGGGGUGAUAAGAUGUACUAAAAUUCAACUUUGUACUCAUGUUCUCAUGAAAGCUUCUCCAAAAUCUUGAGGUAAACUGUGAACCUCGAUCAGACACGAUCUUCUUUGGUACUCCAUGUAAACACACAAUCCGAGCCAUAUACAACUCUGCUAGCUGAGAACCUUUAUAAGUAGUCUUCACAGGAAUAAAGUGAGCCACUUUAGUCAAUCUAUCCGCAAUCACCCAUAUAUCAUCAUAUCCUUUCUGGGUGCGAGGCAAUCCAGUAAUGAAAUCCAUACCAAUCUCUUCCCACUUCCACUCGGGUAUCUUCAGUGGAUGCAAUAGUCCAGCUGGCCUCUGGUGUUCAGCCUUAACUCUUUGACAUACAUCGCACAUAGCCACAUGUGCGGCCACAUCUCUUUUCAAUCCAUACCACCAAUACUUCCGCUUCAAAUCCUGAUACAUUUUGGUACUACCAGGAUGAAUAGAAUAAUCCGAGUCAUGGGCCUCCUUCAAUAUAGUCUCUCAAAGGCUUUCAAUAUCAAGAACACACAUCCUAUCCUUGAACCAUACGGUGCCUUGCUCAUCUUCCGUGAAUUCUGGACCUCGACCUUCAGUAAUCAAAUCCUUAAUCUCUUGUAUUUUCGCAUCACCAAUUUGUCCUUUGUGGAUUUCUUGCUCCAAAGUAGGUUCCACAUCAAUAGUAACUCCUUUAGUAUGAGCAACUAUCCCCAGGUUAAGUCUCCUAAAAUCCUCAACAAUCUCAUCGGGUAGCUGGGCAACAAUAGCUGAAUGAACAUGCUCCUUGCGACUCAAGGCAUCUGCAACCAAAUUCGCCUUGCCCGGGUGAUAGUGAAUAUCCAAAUCAUAAUCCUUAAUGAGCUCCAACCAACGGCGUUGCCUAAGGUUGAGAUCCUUCUGAGUGAAUAUAUACUUCAGACUCUUAUGAUCCGUAUAUACUUGGCACUUGGUCCCCAUGAUAUAAUGUCUCCAAAUCUUAAGCGCAUGCACAACGGCUGCCAAUUCCAAGUCAUGAGUGGGGUAGUUCAGUUCAUGUUUGCGUAACUGACGAGACGCAUAGGCAAUCACAUGUCCUUCCUGCAUGAGCACACAUCCUAAGCCUUGGCCACAUGCAUCACAAUAGAUAUCAAAUCCUUUCUGUAGGUCUGGCAUAACCAAUACUGGUGGCGACAUCAAUCUUUUCUUCAAUUGAUCAAAGUUGUCUUGGCACUUCUCGUCCCACUUAAAUUCUCUUCCUUUCUCCAAAAGCGAAGUCAUAGGUUUGGCAAUCUUAGAAAAUCCUUCAAUAAAUCUCCGAUAAUAGCCUGCUAAUCCCAAGAAACUCCGAAUCUCAGUAACUGUAGUGGGUACUCUCCACUCCAUUAUCUCCUUAACCUUAUCAGGAUCCACUAAUAUUCCUCCAUUAGAUAUGAUAUGACCAAGAAAUGGCACCUCGCCAAUCCAAAACUCGCACUUGCUGAACUUGGCAUAUAGCUGGUUAUCUGGUAGCUUCUGUAGCACCAAUCUCAGAUGUUCCUCAUGAUCACUAUCACUCUUGGAAUAGAUAAGAAUAUCAUCGAUGAACACCACGACGAAUCUGUCCAAAUACUCCAUAAACAUCUUAUUCAUCAAGUUCAUAAAAUAAGCUGGUGCAUUGGUUAAUCCAAACGACAUAAUAGUGAACUCAUAUAAUCCAUAUCGAGUCGAGAAAGCCGUCUUGGGAAUAUCCGAUGGUCUAAUCCUCAUCUGAUGGUAUCCCGAUCAGAGAUUAAUCUUCGAAAAUACUCUAGCACCUCUCAUCUGAUCAAAUAAAUCCUCAAUACGGGGUAACAGAUACUUGUUCUUCACAGUAACAUCAUUAAGAGAUCUAUAAUCCACACACAUCCGCUGUGAUCCAUCCUUCUUCUGUACAAACAGAACCGGCGCUCCCCAAGGUGAGGAACUCGAAUGAAUGUACCCAGCCUCUUGUAACUCAGUUAACUGCUUCUUCAGCUCCUUUAACUCUUCUACAGACAUCUUGUAUGGCCGUUUAGAAAUAGGGGCGGUUCCAGGUAAGAGAUCAAUAACAAACUCAACUUCUCUAUCAGGUGGCAUCCCUGGUAACUCCUCUGGAAAGACAUCUGGAAAAUCUCUAACCACACAGAUGUUGUCACCAACAAAGUCCUCAGGUAUAAAGAACAUUGCACGUUUGGAUGAGGUGGUUACUGCAAUAUUAACUUGAAAUCUUUCUCCUUUGGUGGUAGUGAGUUCUACGGUACCUCUACCACAUGCUAUAAUGGCCUUUGCCUUUCUCAACCAUGACAUACCAAGGAUUAGAUCUAUACUGCUUGACUCUAAUAUUAUAGCAGUAGCUCCAAAUUCUCUACCCAUAAUGGUCAAUGUCAAUCUACGUGUCAUUUGAUUCGCCUCAACAGGCCCUUUAGGUGUAAUUACUAUCAUUGGUUUUCUCAUAUUUAGCAGUGGUAUUUCAUUUGUGUUGGCAUAUCUAGCAGACAUAAAUGAAUGUGUAGCACCAGAAUCAAAUAAGAUGGUUGCAGGAAUUGCAUUAACAUAAAACAUACCAAGUACGAUGUCAGCACCAUCCGGAGUAGCAUCAACGCUGACUUGAUUAACCUUGGCAAUAGAAUAUCCCUUGCCAGAUCCUGGAGUUUGUUGCCUAUUCUAAACUGGAGUAGUAGCAAUCCUCUGUGGGCAGACAUUUGCAUAGUGUCCAGUCUUCCCACACUUGAAACACGUAGUGCCUGGACUCUGUCCUGAAAACUUCGUCGGGGUGCCAGUAGGGGUAGCCUGUCGAGGAGGUGGAGUCCUCAGAGGUGAUUACUGAACUAGGCGCUGGCCUCUGCCAGUGCGAACUGGUGUACCCUGGGGUGAACUGUAGCGAGGACGAACACUGUUGCUUCCUUGUCCUUGAGACAUAGCCUUUCUCUUCAAAUCUCCCAGUUGAACACGCUUGUGUUCAAUAGCCAGGGCCUUAUCAAACAGCCUCUGAAAUGAUGGAAAUGUGUGUGCCACUAGAGCAUACUGUAGUGGUCCAUUAAGUCCUUCAAUAAAAUGCUCCUGCUUCCUCUCAUCUUCAGCAACUUCAUCAGGGGCAUAUCUGGAUAACUGGAUAAACUUGUCGAGGUACUCGCUGACUGACAUACUUCCUUGCUUCAGCGACAGAAAUUCCUUCUUCUUAAUCUUCAUUAAUCCAGCUGGUUUAUGAUAAUUCCGGAACUGUGUACUGAACUCUGCCCAAGUGAUAGUAUCAGCGGCAUCGUGGGCAGCAGUAUAUGAAUCCCACCAGUCAGCAGCAGGACCUGUCAGACGUCCAGAAGCAUAUAAAACCUUCUCCCGGUCAGUGCAUUGUGCAAUAUUCAGCAUCUUCUCAACGGACUUCAGCCAAUCAUCCGCGUCCAGUGGAUCAGGAGAGCUUGCAAAUGUAGGUGGCUUAUGACUCAUGAAUUCCCUAUGCUUAUCACGGGAUGGAACUGGUGGUGGAGGUAGAGGCAGUGGUACUUGUUGCUGUUGCUGCUAUUGCUGUUGUUGUUGCAUUUGCUGUUGCAGCUGCUGUUGCACCCUCCUUUCUUGGCGUAUCUCCUCUCGCUCCUGGCGCAAUUCCUGGCUUAUCUCUUCUCUUUCCUGAUGCAUCUCCUGGCGUUCUUGCUGCAUCUGAGCACGCAUAUCUGCCAUAGUAUCCGCCAUUUGUUGCAUCAUCCUCAUCUGAGCAGCAAUCAGUGGGUCAACUCCGCCUGGUGGAGGAUUAGGAGGAUUCAUCUCUGCUGGCUGUGGCUGGGGUUGUCUAUAUAUCCACUGAGUGUGUCGAUUAGGAGGCAAAUCAAUUCCACCACCCCGCCUGGUAUUGACCAUCUGAGUUAGAUACAUAUGGUAAGAGAAUAGUAGACAAGGCAGGUAGUUACAAAUCGUGUUAUUUUGGGGGAUUUAUUAGCUAAGCAGAUUAAUAUUUUACCUAUCAUAGCUAAUUCAAUACCUUAUGGUGGUACAUGCUAAGAUGUCCAUCUAUAAUAAUUCAAUCAAUCAAAGAAGCAAAUCAAGCAUUUAUCAUCAGCACAAUCAACCAAUCAUUUUUAAAUAAAGAAAAUAGUUUUAAAUUUUGUCUUAGGUUCCCUAUCUCUUAAAAAGAUCAUAGUGGUAGGAUUCCAAGGUGUGAAAUCCAUCUUGUCUUAGAAUAGAGGAGGUAAGAAUGAUCAGAGUAGAACAGUAGAAGGUGAGACAGGAUCAAGAUAAGUAUAGAAAGAAUCAGAGUGAGAUAAGUAUAGAAUGAAUCAGAGUAAGGUAAGUAGGUAAGGGUUAUCCAUUUCUAUCUAGGUUUCGUCCUACAGUCAACAUUUCCUCUGAUACCACUUUUGUCACACCCGGCUUUAAGGAACAAAGCCAGGUGCAUCUCAUACAUGCGCCAAGAGGACAACAUAUAUAAUAACAGAGUGUAUAGAGAUAAAUGUCACAAAACAUCAGAGUAUUUAUUACAUAGCGGAAGACUUAUUACAAAAUAAAAGAAUAAAUAUAAAACGAACUAAGGAUCGACGGCGCCAAUGUCAAUUGAGAUACGCCACCUAGAUCAGAUCAAACUCCUCGCCUUGUGGUUCCUCCUGAACCACCUUUUCUUCUCCUGUGGGGGGGGUGUGAGACAGCAAGGGUGAGCUCACACAUGAUCAUAGCUCAACAAGUUGUGGGGAACCAGUGGACAUGAACUCACUAAGGUGGGAGUUCAUGUUAUGUGUAAGGCUAAAUCAAUGACAGGGAUUAAAGCUGAACAUUGCUUUUAUGUAGUUGGUCAAACUUUUAUUAGCAGUUACUAAAUGUAAGUAAAUACCAAACCUUAAGUAAAGUAAUAGAACAAAUUAAUAAUAAACCCAUGCAAUGCAAAUGACAAAAUUGAAUUUAAGUUCCAUAAUUUAAACAUCAGAGAGUCCUAAGCUGCUCAUGACCGUGAGCUUGGCUAGUAUACCAGUUUUACACUCUACAGAGGUUGUACCCUUUACCCACAAGUCAUGUUACCCAUCUGCCAAGGGGUCGCGACUCCCAUACACCUCUACCUAGGAAGCGUGACAGGGCAACACUAUGAGGCCUUUACAAAGUUCCACUAGCUUCCGAAAACCCGCUACAGUUUAUGGGAAGAGCACUUGCAAGAAUCCCCCGUCUAACCGCCAUCGCAGCUAAAUCAACCCGAGAACCUCCUUGCAUGCAACUCCCUACUGCCCUUGCCCCUUUCGGGUAAGGUAGUCUUCCACUAGCUUUCCUAAUUAGUCAGUCAAGGGCGUCCCAUUAAACCCUUAUGGUGGCACGUGUUUCUCAAGUUAAGCUCUAUGUUCCAAUUAAUGAACUUGACAUGAACAUAAAUAGAAUAACAAGAAUAAUUGGAACAUAGAUAUAAUAAAUGAUUAUCCCAAAACCAUGUAAAGCAAUAGCAAACUACCCAAGUGAUUCAGGGGUAAACAAGGUAAUGAGAUAAACAAUCUAGGGUGACCUAUCGGGUCCCAUCAAAAUUAACCUAUGCAUGAGUAAAUGAUAUUAAAGAACAUUAUUGGGUAAAAAGUGGUCAAGGGCACAACUUGCCUUCAAUGAGCUCCUGCUCAGCUACUUCUAUCUGCUGCUCACCAGGAUACUCAGUCACAGGCUCUUCUACUCGUCACAAUACAAACAAGCACAAUAUACAGGGAAAAUCAACAUCACACCAAACAUGUAAACAAAAUACACAGUAAUAAUCUACAUAUUAAAAUAAAAUCCUAGGAACAGGAAUCAUAAUUUUUGGAGUUAUAGAUUUUAAAUUAUGGAUUUUCAAAGGUUUUAUGUGUUUAAAAUAGGAUUAAGUGUGGGAUUAAUUUUCUUACUGUGGUCAUGACAAAACAGAGGCUUUAAGGGAUAGAAAAUAAAAUUACAAAAUCUUAGAAAGUGGAAUGGCUCAAUUUGGACCAAAAAUGGAAUUUCUAUGAGUUUUACAAGUUAUAGCACUUAUUUUCAUAUUAAAUAUUCAAUUUCUAAUUCAUUUAUAACAUUUAAAUGAGCUCUGGACCGGGCGCAACAUUUGCAGAAAAUACAGGGGUCUUGGGGGAACUUUCCCAAGACACAGCGCACAGCUAUAUAGGAUGGCGAGUUGAUUUCUAUAAACUACAGGGACUCUUUUGAAUGUUUGCUCGGCCGAAGGGGUACGGGGCGAUCACCGUCGUUGGAUUGGAUAUGGGCGCGCCAGAUUAAAACACUACUCCAGCGAACUGGUACUCAGUGUGACCCCUUGGAUUCAAAUCCGACGACCUAGAUUUUAAACACACAGAUCUCACCGUAGCCGCGGGAUAUGAGAUCUACGAUUCAUUUUCCCCACACGCGAGGGGUUACGGAAGAUCUAAUCCAAGCCGCAUAAUGUCGAUCUAACGGCUAGAGGCUUUCCCCCCACUCCCCUUUCUCCUACCGGCGUCAACACGACGGCGCCUGACUGAGGCACAGCGGCGCCAUUACCUCGGACCCGAAUCCCAUCACCCUGUGCCCGAAGCUCAAAUCUACUAGGUGCAACACCAUCACAGGGCCAAAGCGAAUACAGAGCGGGGCGUACUCACCAGUCACGAGGGUGGAGAGGACUGCACCCACGAUGUCGCGCAAUCCACGCACGCCGAUGACGAAUUGAUGCCGCCCUGCUCGCCGACUCGGUCCGCAAAUGGGCUGGUCUCCUUCGCAGCAACCUGGCGAAGGUCUUCGAGUCAAUUCCCGGCACUGGACAGCGAUGGGUAACGCAAUCGCGAUGGCGGCGGCGGGUUCGUUUCCCUCGACGAGCACACGACGAACUGGCGGCUGAAGUUAAACGGUGAAAAGGAGGGGGAAGAAGAAGACUCGGUCCGGUCCUUUAUAAGCGCGCGGGCGACGGACUUGGGCACAACGUCCACAGCCAUGAAGAUCGCGAUGGCGCCCGUGGAGCUAGGGAUUCGGUUGACGAUGGAACUGACGAGGUCGGCCCACUGGUCAGUGCCACAGGGACGCAGGCGCGGAUGUGUGACCGAGUCGUGGAUAGCCACUGACAGAAGAGGGCCCGCAGGUCAGCGAAGGGAGGAAAUCCACAAGCGCCUAAGAGGAUAGGCUGACCUCUGGGGCCCGGGCUGUCAGCGCACGUGGGAUGGAGUGGGCUGGCACGGAGGGGGUUUUCUCUGGGUGGGCCGAAAUGAAAACUUUGGGCCCAGGCGCAGCAGUUCUUGUUUUCUUUUUUUUUAUCUUAUUUUCCUUUCAUUUUCCCAUUCAAAUUGGCUCCAAAUUCAAAUUCAAAUGUUUUGUGGCAAAUUUUAUCCACAGAUUAUGUUAUGUUAUGACAAGCUCUAGCUUGGGCAUAUAUGUAUAUAUAUUAUUUAUAUAUUUUUUUUAUUUCACAUGGUAUUUGUUUGUUUCUCUUUCCUAAAUUUUAGAAUCUCUUUUAAGUUUUGAAUUCCACUCUGGAUUUUUUUACUAUAUUCCUUAUCACAAAAUGCACACACAAAAACAAUAUCCAGCAUGAUACAUGAUUUAUUUGAGUGUCUUUUGUUAAUUAUUUAUUUGUUUAAUUGUGGUGUUCACAUGAAUUGAGAAACAUAGAUAACUCAUAUAUGUAUACGGAAUACAAUUUUUCUCUGCUUAGACUCUGUUUACAUAGUGGGUGUUACACAAGAUCAUUAUAUUAUUGUUAAUUGGAACAUGGAGCUUAACUUGAGAAACACAUACCACCACAAGGGAGGAAUGAGACCCCUUGGCUAACUAAUUUGUCGGGGACCAUAAUUAGGGGUACCCUCAAGACUCCUAAUUCUCAGCUGGGAACCCCCAUCAGCAUAAAGCUGCAAAGGCCUGAUGGGUGCGACUAAGUCAGGGAUCAGUCCAUUCGAGCGACUCGAUCACGCCUCGCCCGAGCCUAGCCUCGGACAAGGGCGGCCGACCCCAGAGGAUUUCCGUCUCGCCCAAGGCCCCCUCCAGCGGCGAACAUAUUUCCGGCUCGCCCGAGGCCCUGCCUUCGCUAAGAAGCAACCCUGACUAAGUCGCCACACCGACCGACCAAGUCGCAGGAGCAUUUAAUGCAAAGGUGGCCUAACACCUUUAUCCUGACGCGCGCCCCCCGGCAGAGCCGAAGUGACCGCCGUCACUUCGCCGCUCCACUGACCGGCCUGACAGAAGGACAGCGCCGCCUGCGCCACUCUUACUGUGGUGCCAUUUGACAGAGUGAGGCUGAUAGGCAGUCAGGCCCCGCCGGAGGCACCAUAGGAAGCUCCGCUUCGCCCGACCCAGGGCUCGGACUCGGGCUCAGCCCCGGAAGACGGCGAACUCCGCUCCGCCCGACCCAGGGCUCGGACUCGGGCUAAGUCCCGGAAGAUGGCGAACUCCGCUCCGCCCGACCCAGGGCUCGGACUCGGGCUAAGUCCCGGAAGACGGCGAACUCCGCUCCGCCCGACCCAGGGCUCGGACUCGGGCUAAGUCCCGGAAGACGGUGAACUCCGCUCCGCCCGACCCCGGGCUCGGACUCGGGCUAAGUCCCAGAAGACGACGAACUCCGCUUCGCCUGACCCCAGGGCUCGGACUCCGCCCUGGCCUCAGCCGACGACCUCCGCCUCGCCCGACCCAGGGGCUCGGACUCGGCCUCGGCCACGGAAGACAGACUCGACCUCGGCUUCGGAGGAGCCUCCGCAUCGCCCAACCUAGGGCGCAGGCCAGCCACGUCAACAGGAGGCGCCAUCAUCACCCUACCCCGAGCUGACUCGGGCCACAGGGAACCAGACCGGCGUCCCAUCUGGCUAGCUCCGCCAGAUAGGCAAUGAUGGCGCCCCGCAUGCUCUGUGACGACAGCGGCUCUCAGCCCCCUUACGGAAGCAAGAAGACGUCAGCAAGGACCCAACCGCUCCGACAGCUGUCCCUCCGCCAGGCUCCAUCGCUCCUCCGACGGCCACGACAUCACACCAGCUGGGUGCCAAAAUCUCUCCGGCUGCCACGACGGCAUGCACUUAGGGAGCUAGCUCUCCCCCGCUAGACACGUAGCACUCUGCUACACCCCCCAUUGUACACCUGGAUCCUCUCCUUACGCCUAUAAAAGGAAGGACCAGGGCCCUCUUAGAGAAGGUUGGCCGCGCGGGGACGAGGACGAGAACAGGCGCUCGCUUGGGGCCGCUCGCUCCCUCUCCCGCGUGGACGCUUGUAACCCCCUACUGCAAGCGCACCCGACCUGGGCGCGGGACGAACACGAAGGCCGCGGGAUUCCCACCUCUCUCACGCCGGUCUCCGGCCGCCUCGCUCUUCCCCCCUUCGCGCUCGCCCUCGCGCUCGACCCAUCUGGGCUGGGGCACGCGGCGACAUUCACUCGUCGGCCCAGGGACCCCCCGGUCUCGAAACGCCGACAGUUGGCGCGCCAGGUAGGGGCCUGCUGCGUGUUGACGAAUAGCUUCCCGUCAAGCUCCAGAUGGGCAGUCUCCAGCAACCUCUCCAACCUGGGACGGUGCUCCAUUUCGGGAGUCUUGAGUUCAUGUCCCUCGACGGCAGCUACGACAUGAUACUCCUUCCACCGCCGCGCGACGACGACAAUGGCGGCUGGCAGCCCGCCUGCCGGCGGCGGAAUCGGCGACGUCUUCCCCGCAUGGUGGGAGAGCAACCUUCGAGCUCACCCCGUCCCCUCCCCCGCCGACGGAGGAGGAGGCGGGGCAACCAAGGCCAAGCAGGAGACAGCGCCUCGUCGGCUGUCGAGCGAGCCGACGGCCCCGGCACCCCAACGGGGGGCGCACCGGGCGUCGACCUCGCGUUUGAGACGAAGGCGAGUGCCGUCUCCCUGCGACACGCCAAUCCCGAGCAAGCGGACGACGCCAGCGCGCUCGCGGAGAGCUUGCUGGACGUCACCCUCGCACCUGAGACGACGGUGCAGUCAGUCCCCGACGUGACUUCAUCGCCGCUCGUCGACCAAAAGGUACCGACCGAUUCCCAUCCUACGUCAUUUGGAUUCAGCCUCAACCCGCCUAGCAACCUCGCUUUGGCGGACGCUCUCGUAAAGGCGAGUCCAAACCCUCUGGGGUUUCGCAUGCGGUCGCCUUGGGACCGGCUGACGGACGUCUCGACCUACGGGCCCUCUGGGUCCGAGGAAGACGACGGGCCCAGCAUCUGUUGGGAUUUCUCUGGACUUGGCAACCCAGUGCCAUGCGGGACUUCAUGACCGCAUGUGACUACUGCCUUUCCGACUGUUCCGACGGUAGCCGCAGCCUCGGCGAUGAGGAGUGCGGCCCAAGCCGCGAAUGUUUCCACGUCGAUCUAGGGGGUCCCUCCGAAGGCAAUCAUCUCGGCAUGCUGGAGGACGGUGAUCUCCCUAGGCCAGUGCCCCGCGUCGACAUCCCACGGGAGCUAGCUGUGGUCCCCGUUCAGGCGGGGGGCCAUGACCCACAGCUCGAGCAAAUCCGUGGGGCGCAGGCCAGGUUCGACGAGGAAGCAGGGGCGCUUGAGCCGAUCCGCCGGGACGUCGGGCAGGCAUGGGUGGGCCAACCCCCGGCCAGAGAAAUACGUCAUCUGCCCCAGGGUUUCCAGCACCGCGUCGCCGACGACGCCAGGGUCAGGCCGCCACCCGCAUCUAGUGGCGUCGGCCAGAACCAGGCUGCCGUAGCGAUGCUUCUCCGAGCGAUGCCGGAGCCAUCAACCACCGAGGGCCGGCGAAUCCAGGGGGAGCUCAAGAAUCUCCUGAAAGGUGCCGCGGUCCGACGGGCCGAGAGCUCUGCCUCCCGAAGGCAGGGAUACCCCUCGGAACCUCAUGCCGCGACUUCCCGAUUCAUGUGGGAAGCCUCGGUCUACACCGGACGCACGCGCAACACCGCGCCUGCGGCCCCGGGCCGCCUCGGCAACGAGCACCAUCACCGCGACCGUCGGGCCCACCUUGAUGAGAGGAUGCGCCGAGGCUACCACCCCAGGCGUGGGGGACGCUACGACAGCGGGGAGGAUCGGAGUCCCUCGCCCGAACCGCCCGGUCCGCAGGCCUUCAGCCGGGCCAUCCGACGGGCGCCGUUCCCGACCCGGUUCCGACCCCCGACUACUAUCACAAAGUACUUGGGGGAGACGAGACCGGAACUAUGGCUCGCGGACUACCGUCUGGCCUGCCAACUGGGUGGAACGGACGAUGACAACCUCAUCAUCCGCAACCUCCCCCUGUUCCUCUCCGACUCCGCUCGCGCCUGGUUGGAGCACCUGCCCCCGGGGCAGAUCUCCAACUGGGACGACCUAGUCCAAGCAUUCGCCGGCAAUUUCCAGGGCACGUACGUGCGCCCCGGGAAUUCCUGGAAUCUCCGAAGCUGCCGGCAGCUGCCGGGAGAGUCCCUCCGGGACUACAUCCGACGAUUCUCGAAGCAGCGCACCGAGCUGCCCAACAUCACUGACUCGGAUGUCAUUGGCGCGUUCCUCGCCGGCAACACCUGCCGCGACCUGGUUAGCAAGUUGGGUCACAAGACCCCCACCAGGGCGAGCGAGCUGAUGGACAUCGCCACCAAGUUCGCCUCCGGCCAGGAGGCGGUCGAGGCCAUCUUCCGAAAGGACAAGCAGCCCCAGGGCCGCCCGUCAGAAGAUGCUCCCGAGGCGUCAACUCAGCGCGGCGCCAAGAAGAAAGGCAAGAAGAAGUCGCAAGCGAAACGCGACGCCGCCGACGCGGACCUUGUCGCCGCCGCCGAGUACAAGAACCCUCGGAAACCCCCCGGAGGUGCCAACCUCUUCGACAAGAUGCUCAAGGAGUCGUGCCCCUAUCACCAGGGGCCCGUCAAGCACACCCUUGAGGAGUGCGUCAUGCUUCGGCGCCACUUCCACAGGGCCGGGCCACCCGCGGAGGGUGGCAGGGCCCGCGACGAUGACAAGAAGGAAGAUCACCAAGCAGGAGAGUUCCCCGAGGUUCGCGACUGCUUUAUGAUCUACGGUGGACAAGCGGCGAAUGCCUCGGCUCGGCACCGCAAGCAAGAGCGCCGGGAGGUCUGCUCGGUGAAGGUGGCGGCGCCAGUCUACCUAGACUGGUCCAACAAGCCCAUCACCUUCGACCAAGCUGACCACCCCGACCACGUGCCGAGCCCGGGGAAAUACCCGCUCGUCGUCGACCCCGUCAUCGGCGACGUCAGGCUCACCAAGGUCCUCAUGGACGGAGGCAGCAGCCUCAACAUCAUCUAUGCCGAGACCCUCGGGCUCCUGCGUGUUGAUCUGUCCUCUGUCCGGGCAGGCGCUGCGCCCUUCCAUGGGAUCAUCCCCGGGAAGCGCGUCCAACCCCUCGGACAGCUCGACCUUCCCGUCUGCUUCGGAACACCCUCCAACUUCCGAAGAGAGACCCUGACGUUCGAGGUGGUCGGGUUCCGAGGAACCUACCACGCGGUACUGGGGAGGCCAUGCUACGUGAAGUUCAUGGCCGUCCCCAACUACACCUACCUGAAGCUCAAGAUGCCGGGCCCCAACGGGGUCAUCACCGUCGGCCCUUCGUACAAGCACGCGUUCGAAUGCGACGUGGAGUGCGUGGAGUACGCCGAGGCCCUCGCCGAGGCCGAGGCCCUCAUCUCCGACCUGGAAAGCCUCUCUAAGGAGGCGCCAGACGUGAAACGUCAUGCCGGCAACUUCGAGCCAGUGGAGACGGUUAAGGCCGUCCCCCUCGACCCCAGCAGCGACGCCUCCAAGCAGAUCCGGAUCGGCUCUGGGCUCGAGCCCAAAUAGGAAGCAGUGCUCAUCGACUUCCUCCGCGCGAACGCCGACGUCUUCGCGUGGAGUCCCUCGGACAUGCCCGACAUACCGAGGGAUGUCGCCAAGCACUCGCUGAAUAUUCGGGCCGGAACCCGACCCGUCAGGCAGCCUCGGCGCCGAUUCGACGAGGAGAAGCGCAGAGCCAUAGGCGGGGAGAUCCACAAGCUAAUGGCGGCAGAGAUCAUCAAAGAGGCGAAAAGCGCCAAGCUCAAUCCUGGUCUUGGGGUUUAUCAUCUCCAGGCGGGGCAUCGAAGCCCACCCGGAGGGGAUUGCGACCACCGCACAGCACCCCGAGCCCUUGUUGGGGGCACCCGGGGGCUACACGCACCCCUGGGAAGGACCGCUUAUCACCACCAAAGUUCUGAAUCUCGGAACGUACAAGCUGGCCAACAGUCAGGGCGAGGUCUACGGCAACGCUUGGAACAUCCAACGGUUAUGUCGCUUCUACCCUUAAGAUGUUUUCAAGUUGUUCGUAUACCUCGCUCCCACGCAAGUCUUAGUCGUCAAGGAAGGGUCAGCCUCGCCUUGGCAGAGCCUGACCCUCCCUCGGGGGCUAAAAAGGAAGGAACCCCCCUUAUCGCUCUGCGUCAAGAUUGGGGAACCCCUCUGCGUCCAAAAUUUUCAAACAAAAAGGCUUUUACGUUCCCCCGGCUAUGUCAGAAGCAGGACCCCAAGGAGCGAACGUGGGUGCCAGUAAGUGGCAAGGCCGACCGAGCCGAGGUACUCCCAUGCCUCCGGGUUAGGGACAUCUCACUCGUCACCCGCCACGAAAAGUGACCCCUACUUGGGGAAGCCACCCUGCUACCGACAGGCGAAGCCGGACACGCAAAAUAAAAGGAAAAGGAGUGCGACUUCAUGCAACGGUAACAAAGUGUUCAGGCCUCAGCGGCCGCAGAAAGACACAUGCGCAUCCAACAGAAACUGUUCCAACAAGUUAGGCAUCGCCUUGGGAAGGAGUCGCGCCUUCAGCUCCGUCCCCACCUUCAACGAGGUCCAUAUCGGCUUCCGGCGACGGCGCAGGUGGGAGGAUCUCCGCCUCAAAGGUGGUCGCCAGCACUGUGCUCGGACCCGCGGCGGUCGCAUCGAGCCUCUGGACCUCUGCCAGGGCGGCUUCAUCUUCGUCGGGAAGGCAAUACCCCUCGCUAACCCGCUCCAGGUCCACAACGUAGUGGGAAGCGAGCACGGCGAAGGCCCGCCUGACGCCGUGGUGUAGCGCCUCGCGGAGUCUGCCGCGCACAUGAUCGCCCAAGACUUGGAGGCGACUUUGAGGGGAGCUUCCUGAGGGAACGUCGCCGAAGCCAAGGAUCCGGUAAACGUCCGAGACGGCUUCGGACAUGGCCGCAUGGUCAGCCUCCCUCUGCUCAGCCGCCCCAGCAAGCACCUCGGCAAGUGCCUUGGCGGACUCAUCAAGGGCGGACUCAAGCUCUGCGAACAGCCAGAAGAAAGAUCUCAAACACAAGCAGAGGAAACAAACAGGAACGAAAACCAAGGAUGGCCAAGGUGUACCUCCGGCUCGGGCACGCUGCUCCGAGGCUGCGACUUGGGCUACGGCUAAGUCGGCCGCAAGGGUUUCGGCCCGGCUUUCGACCUCGGCAGCCCGGCCCCGAGAUUGGUCCCGCUCCUCGACGACCCGAUCGAGCUCCGACCGCUGCCGUUGCGCUUCUGCGCGCGCCGCGGCCGCCUCCGCGCGCGCCGCUGCCGCCUCGGCUCUCAGGUCAGUGCAGAGCAACUGGAGGUCCGCUACCUCAGCACCCUGCUGAGAAAGGCGCGCAGUAGCCCCGGCGAGCGAGGUCCUCAGGGAUCGCAGCGAGCCCCAGACGUCGACCUCGCGGCGGAUGAACGACGACUUUGCGGCGCUCCGAUCCGUCAGAUCCUGAGGGAAGGAAGCGGGGCGUCACGAAGAACGCCUCGGUCACAAAAGAGAAAAGGUAUGCCUGAAACCGUUACAUGGAGGAUUUUGGGGAUGUCCCGGCAGAAAACCUCCAGUGACGACCGGAGCGACCCCGCCGUUGCUUCAGCACACUUGCGGAGCUCAUCCCAGGACUGGUCCUCCCGUUCAUCGUCGAGAACGAAGACGGGGUCCGAGGCCUCACGGGUCCAGAACCGGAGCAACUGGCGCCGGCCCUCGGAGCUCUGCCGCACAGCGACGAGGCUGCCGCCCGGCGGGACGGAUUGCGUCUCCAUGCCCCCCUCUUCCGAGGCACCAAGCGCCGACGCAUCAGCCGUCUCAACGUCGGCAGCAACCGAUCGCUCUCCGAUGGGGCGGCAACGACUUCAGUAGCGGCAGGCGCCGGCGUGGCCGGCACGUCCGGCGGGCUCGGGACCACAUCAGCAUCAGCCGCCUCCCCUAUCACAAUGGCCGCCCCGGCAGAAGAGCCAGCCUCGGGAACCUGCUCCACGGCGACCGGUGCCGCCUGAGCCCCCUGCGGUGGAACGCCUUGCGAGAAGGUCGGCUGGACGGCAAGGCCUGGAGCGGCGCUGGCCACGCAAGCCGGCGCCGUCUUAAGGGCCUUCCGGGGUGCCUAGUCGGUCAGGCCAUGGCUCCGCUUGCUGAGGGAAAAAGGAAAAUCACGGCCGGGACAUAUGAACAAAAAGCCAGGACGAAGACAUUCCGAGAUACUUACCCGCUCCGGGCCAUGAUCAACCGGGCCUGGGGGGAAGUCUCUUGGACCUCGACCCCCGGAACCACCGCCGAGGUCCGCUUCGCCGGCAGCUUCGGCACCACCCUUGCUUUGAGCGCCCUGGACGCCCGGGGGCGGACUGCCCAGGCACUGUCACGGCGACCUGAGGGUCGCUCCCCUGCGCUGCCGGCGCGGGUGGUGGCUCUCGGGGAGCAGACGCUCCGGCCUGGCCCCCCGGGGUCGCCUCAGCUCUUCCGGCCGAGGGGUCCGGUGCCCUCUCGGAUUGCCCCCGGCCCUCGGGCUGGGACCUCGGCGUCCCGACCCCGGGGACUGACGGCAUCAUCCCGCUCGGGGGCGGGUUUGACGGCUCCUGGCCAAACCCCAAGCCGGGGCUGAGGCCGAGGCGUCCAGCCAUGUCGUCCUCCUCGUCAUCAUCUUCAUCAUCGUCGUCGUCGUCGGGCGUUUCCGGCGACGGCUCCCUUGAGAGCCCCUCCCUCUCCUGCCGGCGACGAAGCUUCUCCAAGGCGUCUCGAGCCCGCCUCCGCUCACGGGCCCGGGCCUUUUCCGCGUCUUUCUUCUUCUUCUUCUCCUCCGCGGCGACCCGCCGCGCUGCUCGGUCCACCGCAUCCUGCGAGACCCGUGGCAGGGAAGGCUUGUGCCACCCCACCUCCUGAAGAAGGAGGAAAAACCCAACCGUAAGGACCAGGAGCAACCCGAUGCAAGAGGAAGGAAGAAGCGGACACUCACCAGGGUCACGCACCCUUGGUCUGGGCGCAUCAAAAGCUGGGAAUAGGCGGUGGGGUCCGGCUUCCCCAACGCGACGGACACCCGCCCGUGGAGGGCGUCGAAGGGAAGAGGAUCAGAGGACAUCCGCGAGCCCUCCAAGUCAGCCUCUGGUGUCAUCUCCCAAAGCGACAGCCGUCGCUCCGCCAAGGGAAGCACCCUCCGACGGUGGAUGGCGGCAAUCACUCCCGCAGCGGUGAGUCCCCCCUUCCGCAACACCUCCAAGGCCUGGAGAAGGGGUUCGAGGUUCUUUUAUCUUUCGUGCGGGGUCCCGUGGCGCCAAUCGUCGGCGGCAGUGGUGACUACUCGCUGGGAGAACGGCGGGAGCAACUCGCCGUCAUUCCGGAGGUAGAACCACCGGUGCUGCCACCCCUUGUUCGAGGACGCGAGGAUGGCAGGAAUGUACAGCGACGCCCGCGACUGCCUCAGCAGGAGGGUGCACCCGCCGGCCCGCACCGCUGCGCGGACUUUCCUCUCCCCCGUCGGCGAGGCAAAAAGCUCCGCGAAAAAGAGAUGGGUCCACAAAUCCCAAUGGGGGGGCGAUCCCCAAGUACCCCUCGCACACCGCUACGAAGAUGGCGGCCUGCGAGAUGGAGUUGGGGGUGAGGUUGUGCAACUCCACCCCGUAGUGGUGCAGGAUCGCCCGCAUAAAGCGGCCCGCCGGCACACCGAAUCCCCGCUCGUGGAAGGAGACGAAGCUCACGAUGUACCCCGGCGGUGGGGACGGAGCGGCUCCGCCCACAGGAGGAAUCCAUUCCGGUCGCUGCUCAUCGGUGAGAGGGCGAAGUAAACCCUCGCCAACCAGAUCCUCCAGAUCACUCGCCGUCACCGUGGAAAAAGGCAAUGGAUCGCGCGGCGAGAUGAUGGUCACCCGGUCAGCCAUCACCAAGCGGAAGGGAUGGCGGCGCAAGGGGCAGGAAGGGCGGUUUCCUCUUCUCUGGCUAAGUCUCUCGGGUUACGAAAACCUAAGAAGGAGGCAGGAAGCGGAGCAAAGAACCAUCACCAGACCCUCUCCCGGGUAUAUAAAGACCAAGGCGAGACCGGUUCAAACGUUCCGCCUGGACCGGACGCGGGAUUCGAAAACGCAAAGCAAACAGCCGUUCCUCGGACGACUCGUGCACGCGCAACGAUCGCCUCGCCAACCACUCGCCCCGUCGCAUUAACUCCGCGGCGGGACAGGCGGCGCCUCUGGCAGGAGGAGCGGGCGACGCUUCGCCUUCGCCAUAAUGACCGCGCCAGUAAAGGUACGCCGCGUCGUUCGAUUUCGUAUCCUUUUCUUUUUUCCUCUUUCUCUCUCUCUUGCAACAGGGACCGGGAAAGGGGGAUACCCCGAAAAGGGUCCUUCCCCGUGAAGGAACCAGGCUCCGAGCCUCCCUACUAAUCAGAGGUUCGAAGGCUGGCCCCCCGAAGGGUUCAACAGCCGCCUCAGAUCGCGUGGGCCCUACACCCACUACUGGUCAGAGGUUCGAAGGUCGGCCCCCCGAAGGGUUACACGGCCGCCUCAGGCUACUCGGGCUCCGUGCCCAUUACUGAUCAGGGGUUCGAAGGCUGGCCCCCGAAGGGUUCACAGCCGCCUCAGACGCCGAGCGAGGGAUGACCAUGGGUACGUUCGAUACAUAACCAAGGCUCGGGCUGCGCUCCCGAGGUACCCUAGGACAUUUCCGAGACCAGCGGGAGCGAUCUUGUAACGGAAUCCCAUCAGAGGGAGGCAUCGAGCCCUCGGACCCCAUCGCUAGGGGACCGGGUCCGGCAGAUCACCCGUAGGUACUUUUGGGCGUGCCUCUGGGCCCCUAGCCGACCCCUAACGAACGGGGCACGGACGACCACUCGGAUUACCCGCUUGCAGCUCACCGGAGACACCAUGUUCGGCGCCCAUCGAGGGCAACAUGGCGCUUUCCCCCCUCCUCCUUGCGGAAAGGCGACGCAGGGGCGUAUGUAAAAAAGCCGAGUCUGUCCCUGAUCGCCCUCUCGCCCUGUGCAGAGGCUCGGGGGCUGCUCUCGCAAACCCGGCUCCGGCCGAACCGUUGACAGCGUCAACAUACCAGCCCAAGAACUUGGGACCCGACCGUACACCCGGGCUACGGCCAGCUUGCAUGAGGGAACAACCAGACCAGCCGAAGCAUUACGCGAGGCAUUAAGACCUCGGAGGAGUGAAACCACUCCUCCGAGGCCUCGGGGGCUACACCCGGCGGGUGCGCUCGCGCGCACCCACCGGAACAAAACGCAACCGAGAAAGGCUGGUCCCCUUGCAAAAAAGUGCGACGAAAGCCUCCAAGCGAGUGCUAACACUCCCUUCGAGGCUCGGGGGCUACUGUCGGGGAACAUAAUUAGGGGUACCCUCAAGACUCCUAAUUCUCAGCUGGGAACCCCCAUCAGCAUAAAGCUGCAAAGGCCUGAUGGGUGCGACUAAGUCAGGGAUCAGUCCAUUCGAGCGACUCGAUCACGCCUCGCUCGAGCCUAGCCUCAGACAAGGGCGGCCGACCCCGGAGGAUUUCCGUCUCGCCCAAGGCCCCCCUCCAGCGGCGAACAUAUUUUCGGCUCGCCCGAGGCCCUGCCUUCGCUAAGAAGCAACCCUGACUAAAUCGCCACACCGACCGACCAAGUCGCAGGAGCAUUUAGUGCAAAGGUGGCCUGACACCUUUAUCCUGACGCGCGCCCCCCGGCAGAGCCGAAGUGACCGCCGUCACUUCGCCGCUCCACUGACCGGCCUGACAGAAGGACAGCGCCGCCUGCGCCACUCCGACUGCGGUGCCAUUUGACAGAGUGAGGCUAACAGGCAGUCAGGCCCCGCCGGAGGCACCAUAGGAAGCUCCGCUUCGCCCGACCCAGGGCUCGGACUCGGGCUCAGCCCCGGAAGACGGCGAACUCCGCUCCGCCCGACCCAGGGCUCGGACUCGGGCUAAGUCCCGGAAGACGGCGAACUCCGCUCCGCCCGACCCAGGGCUCGGACUCGGGCUAAGUCCCGGAAGACGGCGAACUCCGCUCCGCCCGACCCAGGGCUCGGACUCGGGCUAAGUCCCGGAAGACGGCGAACUCCGCUCCGCCCGACCCAGGGCUCGGACUCGGGCUAAGUCCCGGAAGACGGUGAACUCCGCUCCGCCCGACCCCGGGCUCGGACUCGGGCUAAGUCCCAAAAGACGACGAACUCCGCUUCGCCCGACCCCAGGGCUCGGACUCCGCCCUGGCCUCAGCCGACGACCUCCGCCUCGCCCGACCCAGGGGCUCGGACUCGGCCUCGGCCACAGAAGACAUACUCGACCUCGGCUUCGGAGGAGCCUCCGCAUCGCCCAACCUAGGGCGCAGGCCAGCCACGUCAACAGGAGGCGCCAUCAUCACCCUACCCCGAGCUGACUCGGGCCACAGGGAACCAGACCGGCGUCCCAUCUGGCUAGCUCCGCCAGAUAGGCAAUGAUGGCGCCCCGCAUGCUCUGUGACGACGACGGCUCUCAGCCCCCUUACGGAAGCAAGAAGACGUCAGCAAGGACCCAACCGCUCCGACAGCUGUCCCUCCGCCAGGCUCCAUCGCUCCUCCGACGGCCACGACAUCACACCAGCUGGGUGCCAAAAUCUCUCCGGCUGCCACGACGGCAUGUACUUAGGGCGCUAGCUCUCCCCCGCUAGACACGUAGCACUCUUCUACACCCCCAUUGUACACCUGGAUCCUCUCCUUACGCCUAUAAAAGGAAGGACCAGGGCCCUCUUAGAGAAGGUUGGCCGCGCGGGGACGAGGACGAGAACAGGUGCUCGCUUGGGGCCGCUCGCUCCCUCUCCCGCGUGGACGCUUGUAACCCCCUACUGCAAGCGCACUCGACCUGGGCGCGGGACGAACACGAAGGCCGCGGGAUUCCCACCUCUCUCACGCCGGUCUCCGGCCGCCUCGCUCUUCCCCCCUUCGCGCUCGCCCUCGCGCUCGACCCAUCUGGGCUGGGGCACGCGGCGACAUUCACUCGUCGGCCCAGGGACCCCCCGGUCUCGAAACGCCGACGUAAUUAGGAAAGCUAGUGGAAGACUACCUUACCCGAAAGGGGCAAGGGCAGUAGGGGAGUUGCAUGCAAGGAGGUUCCCGGGUUGAUUUUGCUGCGAUGGCGGUCAGACGGGGAAUUCUUGCAUGUGCUCUUCCCAUAAACUGUAGCGGGUUUUCGGAAGCUAGUGGAACUUUGUAAAGGCCUCGUAGUGGAUCCCUAGCCAUUCACCUUGGUAGUGUCUAAGGGCCUAGCUAACCCUGGCGACAUGGGAAACACGACUUGUGGGUAAAGGUUACAACCUCUGCAAAGUGUAAAACUGGUAUACUAGCCGAGCUCACGGUCAUGAGCAGCUCAGGACUCUCUGAUGAUUAAAUUAUGGAACCUAAACUCAAUUUGUCAUUUACAUGAGAUUUUUAAUUUUGUUCUAUUAUUUUAUUAUGCUUUGGUAUUUACUUACAUUUAGUAAUUGCUAAUAAAAUUUGACCAACUUAUAAAAGCAAUGCUCAGCUUUAACCUCUAUUGUUGAUCAGCCUUACACUUCAUGAACUCUCACCUUUGGUGAGUUCAUGCCACAUUAUUCCCCACAACUUGUUGAGCGAUGAACAUAUGUGAGCUCACUCUUGCUGUCUCACACCCCCACAGGUCAAGAACAGGUAUCACUAGUUGGCGCAUGGUGGAGGUUGCGCUGUGUUCAUGAGAGGUCUAGGUCGUCGUCUCCCAGUUGACUUUCUGGCGCCAUGGAUGGAUUUUAGAUCCUGUUAUGUUUAUCCUUUAUUUUUGUAAGUCUUCCGCUAUGUAAUAAAUACUCUGAUUAUUGUGACAUUUAUCUCUAUACACUCUGUUAUUAUAUGUGUUGUCUUUUUUGGCGCAUGUAUGAGAUGCACCCGGCUUUGUCCCUUAAAGCCCGGGUGUGACACACUGCCAGAUAUAUCAAUGUCUGUUAUGGAAAUUUUUUAGUUUAUCAGGAGAAUGGAUUGCUAUCC